rnacentral:lncRNA from 1 species
AAAAAAUAAAGAAAAACGCGUUAUCCCGUCGCUGUGAACGAUGCUCUGCCCCUGCUCAUCGCCGAGCGGAGGCCAUCGGCUCCCUGCCCGCCGCAAAGCCCCGCUUCCCAUGGGGAGCCCGCACCGAACACUCUACCGGUCCAUCUCUCCCGUGCCCCGGGGCGCCCAGGACGCGCCCACCCUGUCCUCCUUCCAGCGCCGCGGCAUCGCGGAGCUGCGCAGCGUUCCGCCGGGCAGGGUGGAGACGCAGAGAAGCGGGGCGGGGAAGAGGAGCCGGCGCCCUCGGCUGGCGGCCGCGGGGACUUCGGGGGAGAGAGGAGAGGCUCCUAGCGGGGCCGGGGCCGGGCCGUGGCGCCGCCUGGCGGCAGCUGUGCACGGGAUCUCAAACUCAACUUGAAAAACUGGAAUAUGCAUUGACUAGGGAGCCAUACCUUAAGGUCCCUACAGGAUGGUGUUGUAAGGAACAUCUAACAGUGCCAAGACCAUCUGCUUUCUUUCACCUAUAUUUUAAAUUCUCUGGAGGAGAAAGUAAUCUCAUCUCAGUAGUGCAAAAUGACUGAACCUGGAAGUUAAAAUUGUGAGCCACCUCACUACAGGAUCUAAAGAAAAAG